UACGUAGGGGGGCAAGCGUUUGUCCGGAAUUUAUUGGGCGUAAAGCGCGCGCAGGCGGUUCUUUAAGUCUGGUGUCUAAGUGCGGGGGCUCAACCCCCGUGAUGCACUGGAAACUGGGGAACUUGAGUGCAGAAGAGGAGAGCGGAAUUCCACGUGUAGCGGUGAAAUCGUAGAGGAUGUGGGAGGAACACCAGUGGCGAAGGCGGGCUCUCUG
rnacentral:rRNA from 1 species